rnacentral:rRNA from 1 species
UGGGGGAUAUUGCACAAUGGGCGAAAGCCUGAUGCAGCGACGCCGCGUGGGGGAUGAAGGCCUUCGGGUUGUAAACUUCUUUUGCUCUGAACAAGGCAUGCCUUUGGGGUGUGUUGAGUGUAGGGGUUGAUUAGCGCCGGCUAACUACGUGCCAGCAGCCGCGGUAAUACGUAGGGCGCGAGCGUUGUCCGGAAUUAUUGGGCGUAAAGGGCUUGUAGGUGGCUGGUUGCGUCUGUCGUGAAAGCUCAUGGCUUAACUGUGGGUUUGCGGUGGGUACGGGCUGGCUUGAGUGCAGUAGGGGAGGCUGGAAUUCCUGGUGUAGUGGUGGAAUGCGCAGAUAUCAGGAGGAAUACCGGUGGCGAAGGCGGGUCUCUGGGCUGUUACUGACGCUGAGGAGCGAAAGCGUGGGGAGCGAACAGG